UACGGAGGGUGCGAGCGUUGUUCGGAAUUACUGGGCGUAAAGCGCGUGUAGGCGGCUAAGCAAGUCGGGCGUGAAAUCCCACCGCUCAACGGUGGAAGUGCACCCGAAACUGCAUAGCUAGAGUCCUGGAGAGGAAGGUGGAAUGCUUGGUGUAGAGGUGAAAUUCGUAGAUAUCAAGCGGAACACCGGUGGCGAAGGCGGCCUUCUGGACAGUGACUGACGCUGAGACGCGAAAGCGUGGGGAGCAAACAGGAU
rnacentral:rRNA from 1 species